UCUGUGUACGGAGGCCAACUAGUACGCCUCGACGAGAAAGCAAAGCGAAGUACUUCGUGAUGAAGUUAAAAGGCUUCGUGCAAUGUUGACAAAUAAUGGUUUGGAUCUGGAUGUAGUAUCAUUGAGUGAGGGGUUGAUAGCUUUGGCAACCUGCAUUCCAGAAGAUGAUGAGUAUGGUGCAGAUCUACCUGUUGGAGUUGCAGGUGGCACCACAAGGGCAAAGCAAUCUCCCGAAAGGACUAGCAUUGUAGCCCCAUCUUGCAAGAUCGUUAAUGUGUCUCCCUCCAUUGCCUCUACAUACAAACACAGGUUUUCCUGGUUAAGGAGAGAAUGUUGCAGUAGUGUCGCUUUACCUACCUCCUGGGCAACAAGGGCAGGUAGCGAAAAAGUUAACCAUCGUUGUAAGGUCCAAAAGAGCAGUGAAAGGGAAGGUGAAGUGAUAACUGUUGGUGUUGUCUCGGUGUUGUAUAGGGCUGAGUUGCUUAGUAUUUUAGUGACUAGUGGAGUAUUUGUUGCAGUUUGUGGAUGCACAAUCUUUGUGGACUUCUUUUAAGAUGAAGGACUUGCUCUCAGAGAAAGACAUAGCAAUUGUGAAAUAGUUCUUGAACAACUCCGAGAGAGGGCAAGUGCGCAUGAUUGUAUAUUGGAUUGUGUCCAUUUAAUUGAUUUUCUUUAAAUUGGAUUUUGUCUAUAUUAUAUUUUUCUUGUGUAAUGAGGUUGAUGAAUGGUUAUUCUCAAGGCAGUGAACAAUUAGUAUGGAGCGACGGUGUGGUGUUUUUGACCCCAAAUUGUCUGCUGCCCCUCUUUAACUCAGAAGCAUGGGUAUACAACGAGGUAUUGGUUUGGUUUAGGGGGUGUUGCAUGUCAUACAAGGAUAAUUGGCAAUCCUGUUUUUGAGGUGGUCCAACCCAUAAAAAUCCCUAGACUAUUUUGAUGUGAUCAGUUGUGUAGGUCAUAGAUGCAUAUGGGCUCUUGUUAAUGGCAAGACCUACCAACACCAUCAAGAUAUGUUAUAUUUCUUCGAUGACACCGGUAUGGGUUGUUGCUUGCAAUGUGGCUAAAAUUCACACAGUCUGGCGAUGCAUUUUGUGAUAUAAUCUCAAUGUUGUGUGUUUGUAAUGCAACUGUAUUUCUCGGAUUCCCACCACGAUGUUCUGUAUCAAUGGCUAAAACCCAAAGAAAUAUUGAUGUGUGAUAAGGUUUUCAUACCACUAUCGGGUGACUCACAAUAGGAGCUGCUAGUGGUGGAUAUGUUGCACCAAAAAAUCGAAUCUUACAAUUCCUAAACAGCAGUUGCCACCAAGCUUAUGGAAGAAGCAUGGAAGCAAGUUUGAGAGAGAAACUGACACCAUUUGUUGUUGGGAUCACUGGUUGGCCGUUUGAAUUCGUGGAGUCAGCCCCAAAAUAAAUUGGUGGUAACAAGUGUUGUGUGUUUGUGAUGAAGUACAUGGAGUGUUUCGUCCAGAGUGUGGAUUUUGAUUUUGAUCCAGGAAUGAUUUAUGUUAUUAAGUGGCAAAUAGGGGCACAACUCAUCCAGAAUCAUAUCCCAAGAUUUGCACAUGUUAUGAAGGAUGUUGGUUUGUAUAACACGGUGUGAUUAUGGUGAAAUACAAAGAUGACUUGAAAACC